rnacentral:lncRNA from 1 species
GGCAGACCGAGACCCUCGGGGAGAGGGGAAAUCGGCGGGGAGAUCGGGUGGGCCGCGGAGCGCCGGCUCCCACAGGUGGCCCCGGUGCCCCGAGGCGAUGGCCGAGGACCGAGAUGUUCGAUUUGUCACCGAGGAGAGCUUCGACUUCGGUGUGCUGUCACCGUCUGACAGGUACGGGAGGGUAGUGGAGACAAGGGCACCCCAUGGAUGGGAACAGGGAGGACAGGGCACCUUGUAGUUGGGAACAUGGGGAAUAGGAUGGGACGUGGAGGACAGGGUACCUCAUUGUCAAUGUCCUAGGGAACAUGUCACCCCAUGGAUGGCGUUGUGGGGGAUGUGGCAACUCAUAGCUGAGGUCCUGGGGGCCAUGAGGGACAUCACACCCCAAAGAUGGUGUCCUAAGGAACAU